rnacentral:rRNA from 1 species
CCUACGGGAGGCAGCAGUGAGGAAUAUUGGUCAAUGGCCGGAAGGCUGAACCAGCCAAGCCGCGUGAAGGACGAAGGUGCCAAGCAUUGUAAACUUCUUUUGUCAAGGGACAAAAUCAGGCUCGAGAGCCUGACCGAGUGUACUUGAAGAAAAAGCAUCGGCUAACUCCGUGCCAGCAGCCGCGGUACUAGGGGGGAUGCGAGCGUUAUCCGGAUUUAUUGGGUUUAAAGGGUGCGUAGGGGGGCUGUUAAGUCAGCGGUAAAAUCCCGGGGGUCAACCCCGGCGAGCCGUUGAAACUGGCUGUCUUGAGAUGUCGAGAGGUAUGCGGAAUGCGCAGUGUAGCGGUGAAAUGCUUAGAGAUUGCGAAGAACGCCGAUUGCGAAGGCAGCAUACCGGCGGCGAUCUGACGCUGAGGCACGAAAGCGUGGGUAUCGAACAGGAUUAGAUACCCGGGUAGUC